rnacentral:ncRNA from 2 species
UCUUAGAAUGGAGACAAACCCAGUUUGAUGCUCAAAAAGCAUGAACUGCUCUGCUGAUUUGACAACUGAUUUCUUAUUUCUGCGUGUGACGUGAGCCAAAACAGCUGCUUUUUGCUGUGGCAAAAGUGGUGUCAAUACUGGCAGUGACGUUACGCGGAAUUUUUGAGACCCUAGGCUCAAAAAUAAAGCAUAGAAUUCCAAAGGAAGUCGCUGCCAUAAGCAUCACCUAAGAAAAGUAUCAAAAAAGACUUUUUCUGCAAUCUUAAA